rnacentral:rRNA from 1 species
UACAGAGGGUUCAAGCGUUGUUCGGAUUGAUUGGGCGUAAAGGGUGUGUAGGCGGUGCUGCGAGUCGGGUGUGAAAUCCCUCAGCUCAACUGAGGAGCGGCGCCCGAAACUGCUGUGCUCGAGGAAGAUAGAGGUACGCGGAACUUAGGGUGGAGCGGUGAAAUGCGUUGAUAUCCUAAGGAACACCGGUGGCGAAAGCGGCGUACUGGGUCGUUUCUGACGCUGAGGCACGAAAGCUAGGGUAGCGAACGGG